rnacentral:rRNA from 1 species
AGCGAACGCUGGCGGCAGGCUUAACACAUGCAAGUCGAGCGGGCAUCCUUGUGGUGUCAGCGGCAGACGGGUGAGUAACGCGUGGGAACGUGCCCUUCGGUUCGGAAUAACUCAGGGAAACUUGAGCUAAUACCGGAUACGUGCGAGAGCAGAAAGGUUUAUCUGCCGAAGGAUCGGCCCGCGUCUGAUUAGCUAGUUGGUGAGGUUACGGCUCACCAAGGCGACGAUCAGUAGCUGGUCUGAGAGGAUGACCAGCCACACUGGGACUGAGACACGGCCCAGACUCCUACGGGAAGCAGCAGUGGGGAAUAUUGGACAAUGGGGGCAACCCUGAUCCAGCCAUGCCGCGUGAGUGAUGACGGCCUUAGGGUUGUAAAGCUCUUUUCUCCGGGACGAUAAUGACGGUACCGGAGGAAUAAGCCCCGGCUAACUUCGUG